rnacentral:pre_miRNA from 1 species
AAAGACAACAUUACAAUAGCAUGGCACACUUUUUGGUAAAAAGUGUGCCAUGCUAUUGUAAUGUUGUCUUU